GUGGGGAAUUUUGGACAAUGGGCGCAAGCCUGAUCCAGCAAUGCCGCGUGCAGGAAGAAGGCCUUCGGGUUGUAAACUGCUUUUGUACGGAACGAAACGGUCCUGGUUAAUACCUGGGGCUAAUGACGGUACCGUAAGAAUAAGCACCGGCUAACUACGUGCCAGCAGCCGCGGUAAUACGUAGGGUGCGAGCGUUAAUCGGAAUUACUGGGCGUAAAGCGUGCGCAGGCGGUGCUGUAAGACAGGCGUGAAAUCCCCGGGCUCAACCUGGGAAUUGCGCUUGUGACUGCAAGGCUGGAGUGCGGCAGAGGGGGAUGGAAUUCCGCGUGUAGCAGUGAAAUGCGUAGAUAUGCGGAGGAACACCGAUGGCGAAGGCAAUCCCCUGGGCCUGCACUGACGCUCAUGCACGAAAGCGUGGGGAGCAAACAGGAUUAGAUACCCUGGUAGUCC
rnacentral:rRNA from 1 species